ACGGGUGAGUAACGCGUGGAUAACCUGCCUCACACAGGGGGAUAACAGUUAGAAAUGACUGCUAAUACCGCAUAAGCGCACGGUACCGCAUGGUACAGUGUGAAAAACUCCGGUGGUGUGAGAUGGAUCCGCGUCUGAUUAGGUAGUUGGUGAGGUAACGGCCCACCAAGCCGACGAUCAGUAGCCGACCUGAGAGGGUGACCGGCCACAUUGGGACUGAGACACGGCCCAAACUCCUACGGGAGGCAGCAUG
rnacentral:rRNA from 1 species